rnacentral:rRNA from 1 species
AGAGUUGCAUGCAGUAGACCCGAAACCGGGUGAUCUAGCCAUGACCAGGUUGAAGUUGGGGUAAAACCCGAUGGAGGACCGAACCGACCCCCGUUGAAACGUUGGCGGAUGAGUUGUGGCUAGGGGUGAAAUUCCAAUCGAACCCGGAGAUAGCUGGUUCUCCCCGAAAUAGCUUUAGGGCUAGCGUCGAGGUAAGUUGCGUGAAGGUAGAGCACUGAAUAUGUGAUGGCCCCAUCUCGGGGUACUGAGCAUAAUCAAACUGCGAAUGUCACGCCAACAUGCUCGGCAGUCAGACAGCGGGUGAUAAGGUCCGUUGUCAAGAGGGAAACAGCCCAGACCAUCAGCUAAGGUCCCAAAAUGUAUGCUAAGUGGAAAAGGAUGUGGAGAUGUACAGACAACUAGGAGGUUGGCUCAGAAGCAGCCAUCCUUUAAAGAGUGCGUAACAGCUCACUAGUCGAAUGACUCUGCGCCGAUAAUUUACCGGGGCUAAGCAUACUACCGAAGCUAUGGAUCCCAAGGGAUGGUAGGGGAGCGUUCCAUGAACGGAGAAGUACGACCGAAAGGACGUGUGGAGAUCAUGGAAGAGAGAAUGCCGGUGUGAGUAGCGGAACGUGGGUGAGAAUCCCACGCACCGAAAACCCAAGGUUUCCAGAGGAAGGUUCGUCCGCUCUGGGUAAGUCGGGACCUAAGGCGAGGCCGAAAGGCGUAGUCGAUGGACAACAGGUAGAGAUUCCUGUACCCGUAUAUAUGUGAAGGAAUGACGGAGAGAGGAAGCUGCAGCCAGCGGCUGGAAGAGCUGGUGCAAGCGAGAUAUCGGGAUGGCAGGCAAAUCCACCAUCCGAAACGAGAAGGCGUGAAGCGUACGGAAAGCUACGGCGAGUACGGAAGGCAGUGGAGGAACUUCCAAGAAAAGUUUCUAACGUUAAGUAUAUAUGGCCCGUACCGAAAAUGGACACACAUGGGUGAGGAGAGAAUCCUAAGGUGAGCGAGAGAACUAUAGCUAAGGAACUCUGCAAAAUGACUCCGUAACUUAGGGAGAAGGAGUGCUCAUAGAGAUAUGAGCCGCAGUGAAACGGCCCAAGCGACUGUUUACCAAAAACACAGCUCUCUGCUAAGCCGCAAGGCGAAGUAUAGGGGGUGACGCCUGCCCGGUGCUGGAAGGUUAAGGGGAGGGGUUAACGCAAGUGAAGCCCUGAACUGAAGCCCCAGUAAACGGCGGCCGUAACUAUAACGGUCCUAAGGUAGCGAAAUUCCUUGUCAGGUAAGUUCUGACCCGCACGAAAGGCGUAACGAUUUGGGCGCUGUCUCAGCUGUAGACUCGGUGAAGUCUUAGUACCUGUGAAGAUGCAGGUUACCCGCGACUAGACGGAAAGACCCCAUGGAGCUUCACUGCAGGUUGAUAUUGGGAUUUGAUGCAGCAUGUACAGGAUAGGUAGGAGGCAAAGAGAUGGAUACGCCAGUAUUCAAGGAGCCGCUGUUGGGAUACUACCCCUGUUGUAUUGGAUUUCUAACCGGACGACGUAGAGCCGUUGACGGGACAGUGUCAGUCGGGCAGUUUGACUGGGGCGGUCGCCUCCCAAAGAGUAACGGAGGCGCCCAAAGAUACCCUCAGCUUGGAUGGAAACCAAGCGCAGAGUGCAAAGGCAAAAGGGUGUUUGACUGCGAGACCCACAAGUCGAGCAGGGACGAAAGUCGGGCUUAGUGAUCCGGCGGUGCUGAAUGGAAAGGCCGUCGCUCAACGGAUAAAAGCUACCCUGGGGAUAACAGGCUGAUCUCCCCCAAGAGUUCACAUCGACGGGGAGGUUUGGCACCUCGAUGUCGGCUCAUCGCAUCCUGGAGCUGAAGUCGGUUCCAAGGGUUGGGCUGUUCGCCCAUUAAAGCGGUACGCGAGCUGGGUUCAGAACGUCGUGAGACAGUUCGGUCCCUAUCUGUCGUGGGCGCAGGAAAUUUGAGAAGAGCUGUCCUCAGUACGAGAGGACCGGGAUGGACGCAUCAAUGGUGGACCAGUUGUCACGCCAGUGGCAUAGCUGGGUAGCUAAAUGCGGAAGGGAUAAACGCUGAAGGCAUCUAAGUGUGAAACCCACUUCAAGAUGAGAUUUCCCAUUGCGCAAGCAAGUAAGACCCCUUAAAGACGAUAAGGUAGAUAG